CAAGUGUUUUGGAUUCUAUUUUCAAAAUACAUGAAAUUAAUUAAUUUAUUUACAUUAUGGCAAUAUAAAAGGGGUUAAUAAUAUUCGAUUUUUAUUAUAGUUAUUUUCGUUUUACUCUAUACAGACAAUUCAGUAGUCUAUACCAAAUAAAUCAAAAUGAAAUUCUUUAACGUUCUUUUUUUCGUAUGUUUCGUAAUAAGCAUGCUUUCGUUUUCAAAUGGAUUGGCCGAUGGUGAUGAUUCCAAACCCUUGGGGCCAUAAUGUAAUUGUAAUAAUGGCAGCAGAGCUGAUUCAGUACCAUUGAAAUCUGCCAACCUUGAAUCAGUUCCACUUUAAGUAUUUUAAAAUAUUAAAAGAAGCAUAUAUAAAAUAAAAUUACACCAAUUUCAGUUAAAAAUAUUAAUUUCUUUUAAAUGUAUUUUCAACAUUGUAAAUUUUAUAAUGAUUUUACUAUCAAUAAAUAAUUUCAUAUAACAGUCUAA